AGCAAUUGGGAACAGAAAGUGCUUCCUGUCCCGGCCUGAGACAAUGGACAAUAAACCCAGCCUGCUGGGCCCCGGCCCCUGACCCCAAGGCUUCAGGAAGAGGCUCCCACACGCACACACCUGCCGUGUGCGAAGCUUGCAUUGUUCUGGGCUCAUGGCCGAGUAGGGCCCCUUGCUCUCAGGAGCCUCCAGCUCUUUCUGGACCUGAGCCCUGGGAGCCUUCACUCUGCCCAGAUGUGCUUCCUGUGGAAGGAGACCCCCAGAUGACACAGAUGGAGUCUUGCUCUGUCACCCAGGCUGGAAUGCAGUGGCAUGAUCUUGGCUCACUGAAACCUCUGCCUCCCGGUUCAAGCAAUUCUCCUGCCUCAGCCUCCUGAGUAGCUGGGAUUACAGAAAAUCUGAGCAGUGGGUGAGGCCGAGGGACUGCCUAGAGCCCCAGAGCACGGCAGUGGGCAAGCAGUCGUCCCUGUCCUGGGCAUCCCUGUGGCCAUGGAGCUCCUGGGUGAGCAGCUGCUCUGAGACAAGUCUGGUGAAGAAUACAGCAGGACUCCUGAACAUUCUUCUUUAAAUGCUUAUCUGUGGAAACCAGAACUGCCCUUGGCGCGUGGCUCGUGGACGUGCUGGGCGGCUGGGUGGGGCGGGUGCACGGGUGGAGCCUCAGCUCUGUUUCUUUCUCUGGGUGGUGUCCCCACUGCCGGGCUUCUCCCGCUCUCAGCUCUCUGGGGAGGUCCCCUGUGAAGGGCCUGUCUUUCCUGUCCCCUCCCUCGGAUCAUUAAUGAACCACUCUCUCUCUCUUUUUCCUUUUCAGUGAUUGGGCUGUCGGAAUCAAAGAGGCCCUCCGGUGACUCAGGCGUUUCCCAUUGCCCUAUUCUAGCAUCCUCUACUCUUAGCACUGAGAGUUUUUCACGUCCUAUUUGGAACUGAUAGGAAACCCUUUCAUUGUUUCGCUACAUGGAUAUUAGCACUGAUGAAGGAAGCGCUCCAUCAGAUAGUCGUCCGCUGCAGUGAGCUGGUUUCCAGCACGAGCCUGCCUAGACUCAGCGUCUCCCGCCUCCAGGGACCCCCAGACUCUCAGCCCCUAGGCACCCUGGGCCAGGGUGGUUGGAAGCUUCUAGGCAUUGUGGGGUCUCUGGCACCAGAGACACUCGGGGGUCUGGGGACCGAGUUUGGGCCCUGUACCCACCCACUACCAUUUGACAUGGUGAGAGAGAGAGAGAGAGAUGACGAGCUCAGGCAGGGAUGGCUUCUCCAGUGCCCACAAUAUGCCAGGACUCUGCUAUGCCACUGUGGGCCUUUCCUCACCCCUCCCUCCCAGACAUCAAGCUCCGGUUUCCAGCUGUGUUCCUUGAAGCCCUCGGGCUCUCUGGUGACAGCCACAGAGCCUCUGAGCAAUUUUGCUUUCAGCUAUUUUCCAUGACCCAGUCCUGGGUAAGGCUUCAUUUGAAUGAAGGGUUCUGCUGCUAAAAAAAAAAAAAAAAAGUUGGAAAAACCACCUGAUCACAACUUUCUAAGGCAGAUAUUUUGUUUUGCAAUGAGAUAUUUGCAGUGGUUUCGCUAAAGCCUGAUCUUCCCACUGGACUGUCGGCCUGUGAGGAUGAGGACGUGUCUAUCACAGUCAGUAUGCCCUGAAUGAAUGGGUGUCACCCUCCUCCCCCUAGUGAGAGAUAAGGACCUCAGGCUCAGAGAGGUUAUGUGAUUUUCUCAAAGCCACACAGCAAGAUUUGGCAGGUGAGCCUUACUUCUCUUCCUGGGCUAGCCUGCGGUCAGGGGCAAGGCUUUUGGAUGAUAAGAGUGAGGUGCAGUCAGCUCUAGAUUGGGGGUGGCAGAGGGAAAAGGAGGGGGGGUUCCCAAAGCACCAUUCUGCUUUCUGUGAGAAGGGAUUUCCCCUCAACAACUUCUGUCCCAUUUUUCAGAGCUAAAGUGACAAGCCACAUCCACGUCCCUGGUUAAAGGUGCUCCCCCUGCAGGAAACACAUGUGCACUUGGGAUGGAGCCCUCUGUGCGGGAGCGGCUUGCUCACCUCUCAGCCAGUGCCAGCUGGGUGGGUCUCUCCCAGCUCUCGAAUCCUAACUGCAGCCACCAUUUAUUCAGCACCUGUUAUGCACCAGGCACUUUAUGUAUCUUAUUGCUAACCCUCAAAACAAGCCCUUCCCAACAUAAGCGCUUUUGUGCCCAACCCAUAGGUCUGAAACUGAGACCCAGAGAGGCUGAAUGACAUGCUCACAGUCACACAGCAGGCAGUGGCAGGCAGUAGUGAAGUCGGCUCUAUGGAUUGUAUACCUGGGCUCCUCCAGGCCUCUGCGCUGCCCGGCCUGAUACCCUAGCAGGUUGGGUAUUCAGAGGUGCCUGGGGAGCUUGUUAAAAGUGUAGAUUCCAGGCCUCCUUACCCUUAGAGACUGUGACUCAGUAUCCGGGGCAGGGCCCAGGCAACUUCAUUUUGACAGGCCGUCCCGGUGGCUGCCAUGGGCAGGCAGGUUUUAGGAACAUCAUGGGUGGAUGAUUCCUGGUCUCCCCAGCCCUCUUGACCUGGCCACAGAGAGCUGCCUUUCCAGCGAGGUCAGCCGAGAUGACGCUGUCGGGAGAGCAGUCUUCUCUGUAGUCCCAGGAGGGGACUCCUCGGAGGAAGGAUGAGUCUAAGGGUUCCGGUUGUCUUGGCCUGAGACCACCCAAGGUCUUUUAACAGAAAAAAACUUCACCCA
rnacentral:lncRNA from 1 species